GACGAACGCUGGCGGCGUGCCUAACACAUGCCAGUCGAGCGAAUGAAGUUCCUUCGGGAAUGGAUUUAGCGGCGGACGGGUGAGUAACACGUGGGCAACCUGCCUCAUAGAGGGGAAUAGCCUUCCGAAAGGGAGAUUAAUACCGCAUAAGAUUGUAGUAUCGCAUGAUACAGCAAUUAAAGGAGCAAUCCGCUAUGAGAUGGGCCCGCGGCGCAUUAGCUAGUUGGUGAGGUAACGGCUCACCAAGGCGACGAUGCGUAGCCGACCUGAGAGGGUGAUCGGCCACAUUGGGACUGAGACACGGCCCAGACUCCUACGGGAGGCAGCAGUGGGGAAUAUUGCACAAUGGGGGAAACCCUGAUGCAGCAACGCCGCGUGAGUGAUGACGGCCUUCGGGUUGUAAAGCUCUGUCUUCAGGGACGAUAAUGACGGUACCUGAGGAGGAAGCCACGGCUAACUACGUG
rnacentral:rRNA from 1 species